rnacentral:rRNA from 1 species
UACAGAGGUCUCAAGCGUUGUUCGGAUUCAUUGGGCGUAAAGGGUGUGUAGGUGGCGCCGUAAGUCGGGUGUGAAAUUUCGGAGCUUAACUCCGAAACUGCAUUCGAUACUGCGGUGCUUGAGGACUGGAGAGGAGACUGGAAUUCAUGGUGUAGCAGUGAAAUGCGUAGAGAUCAUGAGGAAGACCAGUGGCGAAAGGCGGGUCUCUGGACAGUUCCUGACGCUGAGGCACGGAAGGCCAGGGGAGCAAACGGG